GUAGCUCAAUGGUAGAGCGGGUGGCUGUUAACCACUAGGUUGGGGGUUCGAGUCCCUCCCGGGGAGCCA
rnacentral:tRNA from 1 species